rnacentral:rRNA from 1 species
UACGGAGGGUGCAAGCGUUUGUCCGGAUUCAUUGGGUUUAAAGGGUGCGCAGGCGGGCGAUUAAGUCAGGGGUGAAAGACGGUUGCUCAACAAUCGCAGUGCCUUUGAUACUGGUUGUCUUGGGUGACCUUGAGGUAGGCGGAAUGGGUGGUGUAGCGGUGAAAUGCAUAGAUACCACCCAGAACUCCGAUUGCGAAGGCAGCCUACUGGAGGUUCACCGACGCUCAGGCACGAAAGCGUGGGGAGCAAACAGG